rnacentral:lncRNA from 1 species
GACCAUGCUCUCCUCAAUCUAACUUAUUGCUCCUAAACCAGAAUAAGCUCACUGCUCAUUUAAGGCUUCAGGACCAGGGCCAGCCCAAACUUGGCACUCUGGUCAAUAGACUUGGUGUCUACUUCCCCAGUAAUUGUGAAAAGGGACUUCGGACGCCACUCAUGCUGGAUCAGAGCACUGGCUUUGCCAUAAUUGUUAACCCGAGCCUUCAAUGUGGUCAAGGGAUCCAAUGCAUGCUGAGUUCCAAGAGUGAUGGUAUUUUCGUUCGUGGAGAAACUAUGUGUCACCUCAGCACCAACAGCAGUACUAGUCAAGGGGCUCACAGUAUGGUAGUAUGAUGCACUCAGAGCAUCCCCCUUGUCAUUCCUGAACAUAAAUACUUGUUAGUCAAGUCAUAUAUGAAUAACGAAUAACACCAUUAAUAUUUAAGCCAAGACCCCAGAACAUAUUGCUGGGAAUUCAUGGACAUACCAAAAACUGUCUUUCAACUAUACUACAACCAAAGAAAGAAAACAGCUAACAAUAUAUAUGCAAACCGCAAAAAACCAAAUAUAUUCUCUGUAUCCCAAUUAAGCAAUACAACUGAAUAACAUUGCCAUAUUUAAGAUAACCACUUACAAGGUCAAUGAAGCAAUAAGGUCAGAAUUGGUGAAGCUCAAUCCAGCAUUGCACUUAGUUAAGGUCCCAGUCUUGGUGUCGAAGGAAACAUCGGUUCCUAGUGCAAGCGCAUUGGUUCCAACCACACCUGAGAAGUUGAUAAUAGGGUUCGCUGUCAACCCAACGCUUGUGCUUAUGCCAGCAUAGUCAUGCAGAUAUUGAAGUUCUAGCU